rnacentral:rRNA from 1 species
AUUGAACGCUGGCGGCAGGCUUAACACAUGCAAGUCGAGCGGAGAUGAGGUGCUUGCACCUUAUCUUAGCGGCGGACGGGUGAGUAUGCUUAGGAAUCUGCCUAUUAGUGGGGGACAACAUUCCGAAAGGAAUGCUAAUACCGCAUACGUCCUACGGGAGAAAGCAGGGGAUCUUCGGACCUUGCGCUAAUAGAUGAGCCUAAGUCGGAUUAGCUAGUUGGUGGGGUAAAGGCCUACCAAGGCGACGAUCUGUAGCGGGUCUGAGAGGAUGAUCCGCCACACUGGGACUGAGACACGGCCCAGACUCCUACGGGAGGCAGCAGUGGGGAAUAUUGGACAAUGGGGGGAACCCUGAUCCAGCCAUGCCGCGUGUGUGAAGAAGGCCUUAUGGUUGUAAAGCACUUUAAGCGAGGAGGAGGCUACUGAGACUAAUACUCUUGGAUAGUGGACGUUACUCGCAGAAUAAGCACCGGCUAACUCCGUGCCAGCCGCCGCCGUAA